UACGAACGCUGGCGGCAUGCCUAAUACAUGCAAGUCGAGCGAACAGAUGAAGUGCUUGCACUUCUGACGUUAGCGGCGAACGGGUGAGUAACACGUAAGGAAUCUACCUAUAAGCGGGGGAUAACAUUCGGAAACGGGUGCUAAUACCGCAUAAUAUCUUCUUCCGCAUGGAAGAAGACUGAAAGACGGCUCUGCUGUCACUUAUAGAUGACCUUGCGGUGCAUUAGUUAGUUGGUGGGGUAACGGCCUACCAAGACGAUGAUGCAUAGCCGACCUGGGAGGGUGAUCGGCCACAUUGGGACUGAGACACGGCCCAAACUCCUACGGGAGGCAGCAGUAGGGAAUCUUCCGCAAUGGGCGAAAGCCUGACGGAGCAAUGCCGCGUGAGUGAAGAAGGCCUUCGGGUCGUAAAACUCUGUUAUAAGAGAAGAACAAAUUGUAGAGUAACUGCUACAGUCUUGACGGUAUCUUAUCAGAAAGCCACGGCUAACUACGUGCCAGCCGCCGCCGUAA
rnacentral:rRNA from 1 species